rnacentral:lncRNA from 1 species
GGAGAACAGCUAAUCAAAGGCUAGUGCAGAAAACUGAUUUCAGCUGUCUCUUGAUAGGUUUCACAUUUUUCAGUCAUCUUCCCCCCUCCCAAUACAGUCCCCUUCCCUAAAACUGGGAGGAAAGCAAAGGCAAGUUUAAAAUCUCCAGAAAUGCAUGUCUAUCUACAGGAAAUUAAGGUGUCCAGAAGCAAAACUGCAGAUCUGACCUCAUGAGUGUGGAGUUCAAUUGACCACGAGUAUGCUAAAAUAUUACCGGAAGUGGGUUUAAUAUAAUCA